UUAUAGCGGUUCAAUGUAACGGAAUCAUAAUCCGCAGGUCCGGGGUUCGAGUCCCUGAUUCGCCACCA
rnacentral:tRNA from 1 species